UCAGCUGAAGUCUCACAGCCAGCGAAUGGCAGGCCAGGGCACCAGGGCCUAGGUCUGCCUGCCUCUUCCAUCCACCUUCUGUCAUCACAAGCCUUCUGAUCUCCAGCCCUCUGAUCUGCCCCAGUGGGACCCUCCUGCGUCUCUGCUCUAGUUGUAGAGGACCCAUCAGGCACUUAGAGAGAAAUGAGUGGUGUUGUGAACAUUCGACUGUGUCCAUGUGGAAUCCACACACACAGUUUGCCUGAAAAUGACUGAUAGGAUGGAAACUGACAAGUCAUCAUCCGCUUCGGGCACCAGCGAUGACUGGUUAACAUGAAUAUUGUGUUGAUUUCCGCUAGAUAGAAGAAGAUGUCACUUGUCGUUAAUGGGGUGUCACACGUACACUUGCCUAAAGGAAAAUGCUCUUUUGGUGAUUGUUCUCAAUUUUCACCUCAUUUUAUAGCCAUAAAAAAGAAAAGAUUCAGCAGAAAGGAUGAAUCCACCUAGGGGUAGGAUGGAAAGGCAUUCUUCUCAUUUAUUUCCUUCUUUCUUUACCAGAACAACCAAAACCCAGUGAAAAUGCUGGUGCAAGUCAGAAGAGGGGGACCUGGGUUCUAAGAGCAGCCAGGUACUCUGGGCUUCAGAUCAGAGCCUCAGAAUCCAGCAGUUAUGCCCACAAGGUAGCCAAAGUCCAGCCAGUACCACCGGUCUCUCGGCCAGCUAUACUUGCCUCUGCUCAACAAUGAUGAUUUGAACGUACAUGUACAAAUAAUAACAGAUAACAUUACUGAGCACUUUACUAUGAACUAUGGAAUGUGCUAGGUAAAGACGUUACUCCACGUAAGCCAUAAAAUCAACCUAUGGGGCAGGUGCAGAUCCACAAACCCUGAUUUAAGAAUUCUGAAUCCUCAAAAGCUUUGAAAACCAAAACAUUUUUUCGAGGGUGCUACCACAGCCUCUGCUGAGGGAUGUUAUUAAUAAAUAUGGUACAUUUACUAUAUUGCUUUCCUUUAAAAGUUAAAUAAAUCUAAAUCCGAGCACAUUUGGCCCCAAGGACUGCAGACAAGAAAUUGAGAACCUGUUAAACCCAUUAUAUGGAUGAGGAAACAGGCUCAGAAAAGGUACGUGGUAAUAUGGUAAAAUACUUUGGAGGAACUGGAUGUAUUUUUCCUCUGGUCUCCAGAGAAGAAACUGAGACGACAGCAAGUCACAGAUUCAAGCUGUGUUCAUAAUGUGUUUCCACGUGGAGGUCACACUUUCAUGUUCAUGGGCAGAUGAAUUCUAACACCAAACACCAGGCUGAAUAGGUGUUCCCAUUGCAAGAGAAGUGCUGUGCACAAUUUUUAUUUGCAUUUCAAAACCCUAACAAAUGGCCACAAUCAACUACUACAAAUUUCUCCUAAUUAGUUUUAGUCUGCACUUCUGUCACCUUUAGGAGAGAGCCAAAGAUUUUAACCUUCAAAAUUAUCAGCAAUGCAUGUCAGAAAGCAUUUCAAAGAAGAGUCAAAGUGCAUGUAGAAACUAAUUGCUGUAUCUGAAAGUGCUGUUUGAAGAAUUUUUCAGUCUUCAGAGAAGCAAGUUCCCCACCCCUUGGGAAAACUAGUCUUCAAACUAAAAGUUUCCCCAAAUCAUAUACCUGAGAAAAAUGUUAAAACAGACUUACCCAAAAAGGCAAAGAAAUAAAACUGUAAGAAUAAAUAAAUCAGAAAUCAGAUGUCUCUCCCCUGUUUAAAAUCCUCCAACAGCUUCCUACUUUACUUGGAAUAAAACGCAAUUCCUUUACCAUCAC
rnacentral:lncRNA from 1 species